GGUUAAGGCGGGCCGGCCGCCAUUUUGGAUGCCGAGUCGCCUCGCUGCGGGAAGUCACACAAAGGACGUGCGGUCACACCAGGACAAGAAGGUGUUUUCAGAAAAGGUUUGAGCCAGCACUGUCAGGAGAGGUCCCCUGCCCUCCUCCUCCUGGCAGUGGAGUGACUGCAUAAUAAACUCCAUCCGCAUGCUGAUCCAGGUCUUACCUUGGCCUAAUGUCGGAAGAACCUACCAGUGAAUGUGCAUGCAGGAGAACACAUAAGUACUCAAGGAAACUAUCUCAUCUGAAAUGUAAAAAUGAAUAAAGAUUUGCACAUACGU
rnacentral:lncRNA from 7 species